UGCGUAGGUGGCAAGCGUUAUCCGGAAUUAUUGGGCGUAAAGAGCGCGCAGGUGGUUGAUUAAGUCUGAUGUGAAAGCCCACGGCUUAACCGUGGAGGGUCAUUGGAAACUGGUCGACUUGAGUGCAGAAGAGGGAAGUGGAAUUCCAUGUGUAGCGGUGAAAUGCGUAGAGAUAUGGAGGAACACCAGUGGCGAAGGCGGCUUCCUGGUCUGUAACUGACACCGAGGCGCGAAAGCGUGGGGAGCAAACAGGAUUAGAUA
rnacentral:rRNA from 1 species